GCGAGGCCCAGAGUUCGGGUGAUCUGAAUCGGUGAGCCCUGCUCCAGCUGCUGCUGGUGUGGCUGAAGAGGAUGUGGCCCAGGAUCUUCCCCGUGCCCCAACACCUCAUGCCGCAGCUGCGAGAUGUGGGCAACCGGCAGGCCAAGGCGCUGGAGUUACUAGCCGCAAACACCAGGCGGCAGGGCCAGGCAUCAUUGGAAAGCUGCGCC